rnacentral:rRNA from 1 species
CACGUAGGGGGCGAGCGUUGUCCGGAUUUAUUGGGCGUAAAGAGCUCGUAGGCGGCUCACUAAGUCGGGUGUGAAACCUCCAGGCUCAACCUGGAGACGCCACCCGAUACUGGUGUGGCUAGAGUCCGGUAGGGGAGCAUGGAAUUCCUGGUGUAGCGGUGAAAUGCGCAGAUAUCAGGAGGAACACCAGUGGCGAAGGCGGUGCUCUGGGCCUGAACUGACGCUGAGGAGCGAAAGCAUGGGGAGCAAACAGG